rnacentral:rRNA from 1 species
AUACCGGCGGCCCGAGCGGUGACCGUGAUUAUUGGGUGUAAAGGGCUCGCAGCCGGUUUGGUAAGUCGCUGGUGAAAUCCUGUAGCUUAACUGUGGGAAUUGCUGGGGAUACUGUUGAACUUGAGGCCGGAAGAGGUAAGCGAUACUCCCUGGGAAGGGGGGAAUUUCUGGAAUCCUGGGAGGACGACCUGUGGAGAAGGCGGCUAACUGGAACGAACCAAACGGUGAGGGACGAAAGCUAGGUGCGCGAACCGGAUUAGAUGCCCGGGUAGUCCUAGCCGUAAACGAUGCUGACUUGUUAUUGGUAUGGGUUUGAGCCGCUUCGGUGCCGAAGGGAAGGUGUUAAGUCCGCCGCCUGGGAAGUACGGUCGCAAGGCUGAAACUUAAAUGAAUUGGCGGGG